rnacentral:rRNA from 1 species
AUUGAACGCUGGCGGCAGGCCUAACACAUGCAAGUCGAGCGGAGCGGCGGACGGGUGAGUAAUGCCUAGGAAUCUGCCUGGUAGUGGGGGAUAACGUCCGGAAACGGGCGCUAAUACCGCAUACUAUCAGAUGAGCCUAGGUCGGUUUAGCUAGUUGGUGGGGUAAAGGCCUACAAAGGCGACGAUCCGUAACUGGUCUGAGAGGAUGAUCGGUCACACUGGAACUGAGACACGGUCCAGACUCCUACGGGAGGCAGCAGUGGGGAAUAUUGGGCAAUGGGCGAAAGCCUGAUCCAGCCAUGCCGCGUGUGUGAAGAAGGUCUUCGGAUUGUAAAGCACUGUAAGUUGGGAGGCGUUACCGACAGAGUAAGCACCGGCUAACUUCGUGCCAGCAGCCGCGGUAAUUC